GCUGGGUAUAGUGGUGCAUGCCUAUAAUCCCAGUGGCUUGGGAGGCUGAGGCAGGAGGAUCACAAGUUCAAAGUCAGCCUCAGCAACUUAGAGAGACUGUGUCUCAA
rnacentral:sRNA from 1 species